rnacentral:tRNA from 1 species
UGCUCGUUGGUCUAGGGGUAUGAUUCUCGCUUAGGGUGCGAGAUAUCCCGGUUUCAAAUUCAUGACGAGCCC